rnacentral:rRNA from 1 species
AUUGAACGCUGGCGGCAUGCCUAACACAUGCAAGUCGAACGGCAGCACGGUUGCUUGCACCUGGUGGCGAGUGGCGAACGGGUGAGUAAUACGUCGGAACCUGUCCCGUGGUGGUGGAUAGCCCGCAGAAAGCCGGAUUUAUACCCCAUACGAACUACGGAUGACAGCGGGGGACCUGCAAGCCUCGCGCUAUAGGGUUGGCCGUUGCGGUUUGAGCUAGUGGUGGGGGGGAAGGGCUACAAAGACGACGACCAGUAGCGGGUGUGAGAGGACGACAGGCCACACGGGAAGGGGGACACGGCCCAGACUACUAAGGGAGGGAGCAGUGGGGAACUGUGGACAAUGGGCGGAAGCCUGAUCCAGCAAUGCCGCGUGUGUGAAGAAGGCCUUCGGGUUGGAAAGCCGUUCUGUGCGGAAAGAAAUCCUUGGGUCUAAUACAGUGCGGGGAUGACGGUACCGGAAGAAUAAGCACCGGCUAACUACGUG